UUUUAAGGUUUUUGAGACAAGGUUUCUCUUGAAAGACCCCCGGAGUGGGGAGACCCUCACUCAAGUCUCGGGAUGACGAGACCCCCCAAGAACUCACGUAAGACU
rnacentral:pre_miRNA from 14 species